CAAUAGCGUAUAUUAAAGUUGUUGCAGUUAAAAAGCUCGUAGUUGGAUUUCUGGUGGGAGCGAUCGGUCUGGCGCUUAGCGCGAGUACUUGCAUCGUCUCCGGCCAUCCUUGGGGAAAGUCUGUCUGGCAUUAAGUUGUCGGGCAGAGGAUCCUCAUCGUUUACUGUGAAAAAAUUAGAGUGUUCAAAGCAGGCUUAUGCCGUUGAAUAUAUUAGCAUGGAAUAAUAAGAUAGGACUUUGGUACUAUUUUGUUGGUUUGCGCACCAAAGUAAUGAUUAAUAGGGACAGUUGGGGGUAUUCGUAUUCCGUUGUCGGAGGUGAAAUUCUUGGAUUUACGGAAGACGAACUACUGCGAAAGCAUUUACCAAGGAUGUUUUCAUUAA
rnacentral:rRNA from 1 species